rnacentral:rRNA from 1 species
GAAGUGAGAAUGCCGGUAUGAGUAGCGAAAGACGGGUGAGAAUCCCGUCCACCGAAUAACUAAGGUUUCCUGGGGAAGGCUCGUCCUCCCAGGGUUAGUCGGGACCUAAGGCGAGGCCGAUAGGCGUAGUCGAUGGACAACAGGUUGAUAUUCCUGUACUUCUAUAAAUCGUUUGAGCAAUGGAGGGACGCAGGAGGCUAAGAAAAGCGUACGACUGGAAGUGUACGUCCAAGCAGUGAGUCGGCUGAUGAGUCAAAUGCUUAUCACGGAUGCGACAAGCUGUGACGGGGAGGGAAGUUUAGUACCGAAGUUUCUGAUGUCACACUGCCGAGAAAAGCUUCUAGCAAGAUUUAUAGGACCCGUACCGCAAACCGACACAGGUAGUUGAGGAGAGAAUCCUAAGGUGAGCGAGCGAACUCUCGUUAAGGAACUCGGCAAAAUGACCCCGUAACUUCGGGAGAAGGGGUGCUGGUAGCAAUACCAGCCGCAGUGAAUAGGCCCAGGCGACUGUUUAUCAAAAACACAGGUCUCUGCAAAAUCGAAAGAUGACGUAUAGGGGCUGACGCCUGCCCGGUGCUGGAAGGUUAAGAGGAGAGGUUAGCGCAAGCGAAGCUUUGAAUUGAAGCCCCAGUAAACGGCGGCCGUAACUAUAACGGUCCUAAGGUAGCGAAAUUCCUUGUCGGGUAAGUUCCGACCCGCACGAAAGGCGUAACGAUUUGGGCACUGUCUCAACGAUGGACUCGGUGAAAUCAUAGUACCUGUGAAGAUGCAGGUUACCCGCGACAGGACGGAAAGACCCCAUGGAGCUUUACUGUAGUUUGAUAUUGAGUGUUUGUGUCACAUGUACAGGAUAGGUAGGAGCUGAAGAAUCCGGGACGCCAGUUUCGGAGGAGGCAACGGUGGGAUACUACCCUUGUGACAUGACCACUCUAACCCGCACCCCUAACCGGGGUGGGAGACAGUGUCAGACGGGCAGUUUGACUGGGGCGGUCGCCUCCUAAAAUGUAACGGAGGCGCCCAAAGGUUCCCUCAGAAUGGUUGGAAAUCAUUCGUAGAGUGUAAAGGCAGAAGGGAGCUUGACUGCGAGACCUACAAGUCGAGCAGGGACGAAAGUCGGGCUUAGUGAUCCGGUGGUUCCGUAUGGAAGGGCCAUCGCUCAACGGAUAAAAGCUACCCUGGGGAUAACAGGCUUAUCUCCCCCAAGAGUUCACAUCGACGGGGAGGUUUGGCACCUCGAUGUCGGCUCAUCGCAUCCUGGGGCUGAAGUCGGUCCCAAGGGUUGGGCUGUUCGCCCAUUAAAGCGGUACGCGAGCUGGGUUCAGAACGUCGUGAGACAGUUCGGUCCCUAUCCGUCGCGGGCGUUGGAAAUUUGAGAGGAGCUGUCCUUAGUACGAGAGGACCGGGAUGGACACACCGCUGGUGUACCAGUUGUUCUGCCAAGAGCAUCGCUGGGUAGCUAUGUGUGGACGGGAUAAACGCUGAAAGCAUCUAAGCGUGAAGCCCCCCUCGAGAUGAGAUUUCCCAUCAUUUUAAAUGAGUAAGACCCCUGAGAGACGAUCAGGUAGAUAGGCUAGAAGUGGAAGUGCCGCGAGGCAUGGAGCGGACUAGUACUAAUCGGUCGAGGACUUAACCAC